GAUCCUGGCUCAGGAUGAACGCUAGCGACAGGCUUAACACAUGCAAGUCGAGGGGCAGCACAGGUAGCAAUACCGGGUGGCGACCGGCGCACGGGUGAGUAACGCGUAUGCAACUUACCUAUCAGAGGGGGAUAACCCGGCGAAAGUCGGACUAAUACCGCAUGAAGCAGGGGCCCCGCAUGGGGAUAUUUGCUAAAGAUUUAUCGCUGAUAGAUAGGCAUGCGUUCCAUUAGGCAGG
rnacentral:rRNA from 1 species